GUUUGUUUAAAAGGGAACAUGCAGUGCAAGAUGUAUCUGCUGCUCGCUCUGUUCAUCAGUUUUCACCGUGUGAAAUCGCAAACUAUCCGUCAGACUCCGGCCGCAGACUCCAAACUUCAUGGAGAGAGUGCGGAAAUAAAAUGCACGAUGGAGGAAGCAGGACAAUUUCGUAUGUACUGGUACAGACAAGCCCCAGGAAAGGAGCUGCAGCUGAUGUUUCACUCGUUGCUUGCACCAAGUGUGAGUGAAGAGGCGGCCGCUGACGGUUUCACCGCCGAGCGACCGAAUGACUCGACGUUUAUCCUAAAGUCCCUUAGCCUGCAGGCGAAUCAUUCGGCUGUUUAUUACUGCGCCUGGAGUAUUCACAGUGGCUCAGAGAGAUGGAGCUCAACAACAAAAAGCUCAAAGGCAGCAGAAAAUAAUUUUGAAGGAUAA